CACGUAGGGGGCGAGCGUUGUCCGGAUUUAUUGGGCGUAAAGAGCUCGUAGGCGGCUCGGUAAGUCAGGUGUGAAACCUCCAGGCUCAACCUGGAGACGCCACCUGAUACUGCCGUGGCUAGAGUCCGGUAGAGGAGCGUAGAAUUCCUGGUGUAGCGGUGAAAUGCGCAGAUAUCAGGAGGAAUACCAGCGGCGAAGGCGGCGCUCUAGGCCGGUACUGACGCUGAGGAGCGAAAGCGUGGGGAGCAAAUGGG
rnacentral:rRNA from 1 species